CACAGAUCACUUCUUAGUCAUUUUAAGGCCACUAAGUUGGUUUGGUUUUCUAUAGUCUAGCUAUUCCUGUGGGAUCUCAGUACCCAUACAGAUUUGAUAGAUGCUUCUAUAAGCAGCUAGAAAUAAGUCACAGCAUCCAGAACUACUGCUCUGCCACAUUAUCAGAGACAGCAGCAAGCUGUCAGCAGAAAAUAACUGGAACACAGUUUUCAAAUAAAAUAAUGAAACAGAUAAUGCAUAGCUUAAAAUUAUUAAUUUAAUAGUACUUAAUUCACAUCAUUUCCUUAUAUAAAGCCUCUAUAAAAACAAUUUUCUGUAUUACUAUAUAAAGAGAGAAAAAUCAGGUAAUAAUUCUAGAAUUAAGGAUAACUCAAGAUUUACAAAUUCCAACCUGACAUCCACUGGAUUUUUGUGUACUGCAAUUACACCCAAAUUAAAACCCGUAGUCUGUGUAAAGCAGAGAAGAAACUUAACUGUGUGUCUAGAUUAAUAACUAACAUUAUUUUUCUCUUUUUGUGGCAAUGCACAGUAUUUAUAACCCAGCCAGAAGCUGUGAUUCUCCAGAGAAUGUGGCACACAAACAUUUAAUUAAGCACUAUCAUAGCACAAAAGCACAAUAGGGAUAAAAGCCGAAGAGCACUAACCCUGUGUCGUGGUUUGAAGGGAAGUGAGUUUUUUUAGAAGUAGUGGUCAAACCAAUCAGUCCUUAAGUCUGAGUAUUGGCACCUUUGUUAGCCACUAAGAGGUUGGACACGCCUCUGAAGACACGAAGAGUUAAAAGCCGGAUUUCCCAGCAGGACUCUCUCUUUCCCUGCUCUGCUUUCGGAGAGGGAGCGUCUUCUCCUCUCCCCUGCCCAGGCCUGGCUAGGCCGGGUGGGGGAAGGGAGCAAGAGAGAAGGUGCCGAGCUGAAGCUGCUUGUGAGAGCUGCAGUGUCUGCGAUCGCCUGUGCCUGACCUUAGUGUUUUUGUAGCCACUGGUUCCCAGAGACAGAAGUGUAAUGAGGACAUCUAAAGAAGGAGAUGCAGAUGCUCUUCCUGAAAAAAACCCCAACAGACAGAUUAAAGUGGCAAAAAUAAAUUUUAUGUGAAAGAAAGCUGAU